GGUUACUGCUAUCGGUGUUCGCCUAAGCCAUGCGAGUCAUAUGUAGCAAUACAUGGCGUACUGCUCAGUAACACGUGGAUAACCUGCCCUUGGGUCCGGCAUAACCCCGGGAAACUGGGGAUAAUUCCGGAUAACGCAUAUAUGCUGGAAUGCUUUCUGCGUAAAAUGGAUUCGUCUGCCCAAGGAUGGGUCUGCGGCCUAUCAGGUAGUAGUGGGUGUAAUGUACCUACUAGCCUACGACGGGUACGGGUUGUGAGAGCAAGAGCCCGGAGAUGGAUUCUGAGACAUGAAUCCAGGCCCUACGGGGCGCAGCAGGCGCGAAAACUUUACAAUGCGGGAAACCGUGAUAAGGGGACACCGAGUGCCAGCAUCCUUUGCUGGCUGUCCGGGUGUGUAAAAUACACCUGUUAGCAAGGGCCGGGCAAGACCGGUGCCAGCCGCCGCGGUAACACCGGCGGCCCGAGUGGUGAUCGUGAUUAUUGGGUCUAAAGGGUCCGUAGCCGGUUUGGUCAGUCCUCCGGGAAAUCUGACAGCUCAACUGUUAGGCUUUCGGAGGAUACUGCCAGACUUGGAACCGGGAGAGGUAAGAGGUACUACAGGGGUAGGAGUGAAAUCUUGUAAUCCCUGUGGGACCACCUGUGGCGAAGGCGUCUUACCAGAACGGGUUCGACGGUGAGGGACGAAAGCUGGGGGCACGAACCGGAUUAGAUACCCGGGUAGUCCCAGCCGUAAACGAUGCUCGCUAGGUGUCAGGCAUGGUGCGACCGUGUCUGGUGCCGCAGGGAAGCCGUGAAGCGAGCCACCUGGGAAGUACGGCCGCAAGGCUGAAACUUAA
rnacentral:rRNA from 1 species